UACGGGGGGGGCAAGCGUUGUUCGGAAUUACUGGGCGUAAAGGGGACGUAGGCGGCCAACUAAGUCCGACGUGAAAUCCCAAGGCUUAACCUUGGAACUGCGUCGGAUACUGGAUGGCUUGAAUUCGGGAGAGGGAUGCAGAGUUCCAGGUGUAGCGGUGAAAUGCGUAGAUAUCUGGAGGAAUACCGGUGGCGAAGGCGGCAUCCUGGACCGACAUUGACGCUGAAAGCCGAAAGCUAGGGGAGCAAACGGG
rnacentral:rRNA from 1 species